rnacentral:rRNA from 1 species
UACGAAGGGGGCUAGCGUUGUUCGGAUUUACUGGGCGUAAAGCGCACGUAGGCGGAUCGUUAAGUCGGGGGUGAAAUCCUGGAGCUCAACUCCAGAACUGCCUUCGAUACUGGCGAUCUUGAGUCCGGAAGAGGUGAGUGGAACUCCUAGUGUAGAGGUGGAAUUCGUAGAUAUUAGGAAGAACACCAGUGGCGAAGGCGGCUCACUGGCUCGAUACUGACGCUGAGGUGCGAAAGCGUGGGGAGCAAACAGG